CAGGGAUAUCAGGGGUUCAAGUCUAAGGUGUCUGCUAAGGCAGCUGGAUGCCAUGUGAUGAAGCACCUGCUGAUCUCCAUCCCAUGCACCCUAAACUUCUCCGUAAAUCCUGCUGUACAUAUAGUUUCGAGUCUGGAAUACUCAGGUUUUGAUGGGUGUACUGCCUCAAAGUUUGUGGAGCUAUGCCAUACAGAGUAACACAAUGAACAUUUGAAGCAAAAUGGAGACUCUGCAAUUUGAGAAUUCACUGGAAACAGGAGCUGGAAGCCAGAGAUGACUCGGGGAAAUAUAAGAGUCAAAAUAAAAGACCAUUACACAAGAUUGCACAAUCACUUACGAAUGCCGCAGUUAAAGCCAAUCUCUGGAUAAUGAGGAGCAACUGGUGCUGUAAGAGAAGCUCUCCAGUGGUGAAAAAUUAAGUCAAUUCUAGGGCAGAGCUGCUGCUGUACCUGGGUAAGAAGACCUCUGUGGCCAAGGAAUUACGCUUUUCCCAAUAUGGUACAAGAGCAUCGUGUCUAUGGCCAGGGACUGUUUUAUAUUUUAUGCUUCAUUUCAUCCCUUAUCAGUGCAUUGAUUGAAUUGUGACCAGGGCUGGCUAUUCCUCCCUCAAACCUUUUCUUCUACCUAACAGUAUUUCUUUUUAGAGCAAGAUCCCUUUAAGGAAGAUGCUAAAAGUGAAAUUGAAUUAUUUUUCCUAAAGGAGUCUGAGAUAGGAAGCCUAAGUACAAAGUAAUGAGAUUAUAUAAAUCAUAUAAAAAUUAGUCUCAGGUUUUUACUCAUAUCUUCAGUUAUGAAUAGCAUAAAAUGCUAUGGCUUCAAGAAAAAAUUUUAAAUAGAAACCAAGACCAAUGAUCAUCAAAAUCUAAAUUAAGGAUCUAAAAAAAUUUACCAGGAUGCCUUAUCUUUGAACAAGUCAAUAGAUAAGAGGAGAUUCCUUAAAGAAAGCCUGGGAGAACCUUCAAGUUAUUUUCUUUUAAAAGUAAGGACUAUCUAUUCCAAAGUAUCGUUUGUUGGAUAUAUGUCAACACACUUAUUAAUGAUGACAAUCUAAAUAUUUAUCUGUUCAAUCAGCUCUUCAAGAUUCACUGUGAACACUCACUAAAAUAACCUUCAGAAUUGAGUUACGACUGAGGCAAUAUUGAAAGUCGCUGAAACAUUCUGUGAUUUGGAUUCUUGACAUCUCUUAAGCCCAUAAGGAGCAAGUAUGGCUGGGCUGGAGAGCAUCAGAGCCACGGAAUCAGUUUACAUUCCACUCUACUGCCCCAUACAGGCCACUCCUCAAACUCCAAACAAUCUGUGAGAGAGGAGCAUGCAACUAUGCAGGAAGGGAAUCACUAAAGAAGACCAAAAAAAGGCUAUCCACUCAUCAUAAAGAUCAGAUUCCUGGAGGAAAAUAGGCAUGUUAUACCUUUCUGAGACUAAGAACUUAACUUUAAACGCAAUCGCUGGCUCUUUGCUAUUUCAAGCCAUUCUAUCUUAAGGCAACAGAUAGUGUCACGGCAUUGUACAAAUGGGAAAAUCAAAACAAAGCCCAAGAGUCAAAGCCACUAUCUUUCACAAUCCCAUUUGAAAUCAUGCUAAACCCAAUAAAACAUGUAGAACGGAACCAAGGGAAUGACCAGGCUUGGCUGGUAUAUAAUUCAAAAUGUAGACCCACCAUAUUUAAAAUCGAACAUGUGUUACAGCUCUGGAAGCUAAUCCUCACGUAUUCUGAGAACCUCCAAGGAGAUCUGUGAUCCAGAUUAUUGAUCUGCCGGUGUGGUUUACAACAGAACCAACCUCAUUCUGCCGUAUGUUUUGAUUGAGCUUUGAAAACCCUUAAGGGAUGGCUUGCCUAGUCACAGGGACAGGAGGGAAAGAUGAAGAGAAAGCUUAUAUUCUGUUUUAAAGUAUAAAAAGAACCCGCUUUACAGGGGAAAACUGCAACCAUUCACUCAGCUUAGUAACACUAAAAUAACACAAACUGUCUUUAACAGGGUUGUUCAGGAAAAUAUAGAAACUUACACACUUGGUUUAUAAGAAGCAAAAACUAAGAAUAACACAUGUAGAGGAAGUUUUUCAGCUGAAUUCUUAGUGCUGUUACAACGCAACCUUCAGAUUACAGAAUAGUCCAUCUUCUGUCUUGCUCCUAUAAACAAACAUAGUCAAGGAAAAGAUCAUUAGUUCUAAAAGUAAAUUUCACUUUUCAAGAAGCAAGGAAAAUGUCAAGAUACAUUUUAUUUGACUAUUUGGCUAAUUUCAACAUUGAUAAUGAGGAAGUUCCCAUCUCGAAAUGUGUUUGGGAAAUGUGUUUCUAAACGUACUUAGACAUUAUACUGACUUCAAGAAAGUGCCCAGAGUGGAACCUUUCUUUGAGACUUGAAUUAAAUCCAAUCAA